rnacentral:rRNA from 1 species
UAGGGAAUCUUCGGCAAUGGACGAAAGUCUGACCGAGCAACGCCGCGUGAGUGAAGAAGGUUUUCGGAUCGUAAAACUCUGUUGUUAGAGAAGAACAAGGACGUUAGUAACUGAACGUCCCCUGACGGUAUCUAACCAGAAAGCCACGACUAACUACGUGCCAGCAGCCGCGGUAAUACGUAGGUGGCAAGCGUUGUCCGGAUUUAUUGGGCGUAAAGCGAGCGCAGGCGGUUUCUUAAGUCUGAUGUGAAAGCCCCCGGCUCAACCGGGGAGGGUCGUUGGAAACUGGGAGACUUGAGUGCAGAAGAGGAGAGUGGAAUUCCAUGUGUAGCGGUGAAAUGCGUAGAUAUAUGGAGGAACACCAGUGGCGAAGGCGGCUCUCUGGUCUGUAACUGACGCUGAGGCUCGAAAGCGUGGGGAGCAAACAGG